UGUAAUCAGAAUAAGGGUACAACGAUGGUUAAUGAUUGGCUCCUCCUCAAAUGAUUAGCACAGCAGUCGAAGCUGAUUGGUUAUCUGGCAAAUGGUGGCUCCUCCCAUAGUUCGAUGCUUUAAGGUCUGCAACUCCAGCCACUGGUGCCCAAGAAAAACAACGUGAUUGACUCGUUGUGCUGUUUCGUUGCACCGGCAUCUGAUCAUUAUAUGGGAGCGGCCUUGGCGACUGGAGUUCUAAGCAACACUUCCGACCAUUCUGAUAGAGUUUUCAUUUCUGAAUUUGUUAAUUUUUGAGGUUAUUGUAUCUAAUCGAUUCAGCUGAGAAUCUUUUGAAGACAAAUGUUCUGCAAGAAAGUAUCAGUGGUGUUGGAAACGAUAUUUACCUUAGGGGAGGGGGUGGCAGUGCCGUCUACGAUGCUAAGAUUCAUAGACUGGUCAUAGGAAGAUUCACAAAGACGCUUGAAAACGGAAACCGCUGAUCUCUCUUUAAGUGAAAGAAGAACAUCGUUCCCAGAUAUAGGAUGCCCGGUGGUAACCAGGCUUCCAUGUGGCUGAACAGAUGCCAAUGUAUCUGAAUUCUAAGACACAACUUGAUGUUCUUUUCUUCUGCUUUUAAGAUUCCCAAUUUGGGAUGAUGUGCAGUUCAUGUUAGAUUUAGAGCAGUUACAGUGAGGUGGAAGAGUCGGGCCAUGUUAUGGGGCACCAAUUAAAGAAGAAGGAAGGACAGAUGUGUGCCAUGUUGAUGUAGUGGGUGACCCUUCUGCCCCGCACUUCUAGAAUCCUCCAUCUCAGUCUCAGUUCUGAUUUGCUGUGCCUUUGCGAAGUGAUUACGAGUGGUGCCCCUCUGCGACUCCACCGUCUGUUACAUCAACUGAAACUGCCUGUGAUGUCAGAGAGAAACAAAGUUCACAAGAUGUCCUGAAAUGGAAUUGUGAUUGGACUGAUACAGCCACAAUUAUGUAUGCUGAGAUGUGCAGGCUUUGGUUUGCAUCCCCAAGAGGUUUAUUAUCUCCAGCAAACUUGAAAGCUGCAAGUUUGUCUUUUUCCCUGGUCAUUUCAAGUUCAAAGUUUAU